UCUUGCGCGGCGUACUUCCCGAGGCGACGGGCCAGCAUCGAUUUCGAUCGCCGGAGAAAGGUGGGGGGAACGUGGCACCUUCGGGUGUGUUAUAGCCCCCCGUCGUAUGCGGCGGUYGGGAUCGAGGACCGCAGCGUGCCCUCACGGGCCGGGGUUCGCCCACGUAACGCGCUUAGGAUGCUGGCGUAAUGGCCUUAAACGACCCGUCUUGAAACACGGACCAAGGAGUCUAACAUGCCUGCGAGUGUUUGGGUGGAAAACCCGGACGCGCAACGAAAGUGAUAGGUCGGGACCUCUGUCGCGGAGGGCACCGACGCCCGGACCAGAGCUUCUGUGACGGAUCCGAGGUAGAGCAUGUAUGUUGGGACCCGAAAGAUGGUGAACUAUGCCUGAGUAGGGUGAAGCCAGAGGAAACUCUGGUGGAGGCUCGUAGCGAUUCUGACGUGCAAAUCGAUCGUCGAACUUGGGUAUAGGGGCGAAAG
rnacentral:rRNA from 1 species